rnacentral:rRNA from 1 species
ACGGGUCUCGAUAAGCCAGGCACGUCUAAGUACAAACUAAAUGAUGGUGAAACUGCAAAUAGCUCAUUACAACGGUUAUGAUGUACCCGGGAGUUCCGAUGGAUAUUUCCAGUAACACUAGAACUAAUACAUGUCCCUGCGUUUAUUAGUUUCGCACAGUCCGUCGCUGAGUCAUGGUAAACAGUUGAUCGACUCGACGUCCCGGAACAGUUUCCGCCCCAUCAGCUUCGAUGGUUGGGUAUUGGCCUACCAUUGCAACAACGGGUAACGAGGAAUUAGGGUUUGAUUUCGGAGAGGGAGCCUGAGAAACGGCUACCACAUCUACGGAUGGCAGCAGGCGCGCAAAUUACCCAAUGCAGACACUGUGAGGUAGUGACGAGAAAUAAUAAAGCGGGACUUCUGUUUCGCUAUUAUAAUGAGGAAUAACCAAAGGUCAUUCCGAUUAGCAACUGAUGGGAAAGUCUGGGUGCCAGCAGCCGCGGUAAUACCAGCGUCAGUAG